GCUGGUGGAGAGAAACGGGUCCCUUGUGUGGGGGAUGGUGUGUGGCCAAAACUGGGGCAUCGUGGAGGCCAUGGUGGUCUGCCGCCAGCUGGGCCUGGGAUUCGCCAGCAACGCCUUCCAGGAGACCUGGUAUUGGCACGGAGAUGUCAACAGCAACAAAGUGGUCAUGAGUGGAGUGAAGUGCUCGGGAACGGAGCUGUCCCUGGCGCACUGCCGCCACGACGGGGAGGACGUGGCCUGCCCCCAGGGCGGAGUGCAGUAUGGGGCCGGAGUUGCCUGCUCAGAAAGUGAGAGUUCCUCCCCUCCCUCCCCACCGGGCUCCCGAGGGGACCAGAGUCCCACCAGUUAUUCCUCAAGAGACUCUGAAGCCUUGCCAUGAGCCAAGCAAUAGAGGAAGGUAGAAUGAAAUCCUAAGGGAGAAAAACUAGGGGCAAGAGAGAUGACCGCCACCCCAACCACAGAUCGCUGUCUAUGAUGUAGUGGGAAGAAAAGCGGGAGGGAG
rnacentral:sRNA from 1 species